rnacentral:rRNA from 1 species
UAAUACGGAGGGUGCGAGCGUUGUCCGGAAUCACUGGGCGUAAAGGGCGCGUAGGCGGUCUGCUAAGCGUGUGGUGAAAGCUCGGGGCUCAACCCCGAGUCUGCCAUGCGAACUGGUGGACUGGAGCACUGUAGAGGCAGGUGGAAUUCCGGGUGUAGCGGUGGAAUGCGUAGAGAUCCGGAAGAACACCAGUGGCGAAGGCGGCCUGCUGGGCAGUUGCUGACGCUGAGGCGCGAUAGCGUGGGGAGCAAACAGG